UAUAUGAUCCUGGCUCAGAAUCAACGCUGGCGUAAUGCUCAACAUGCAAGUCGAACGAUAGACUCCCUUCGGGGAGUGCAUAAAGUGGCGCACGGGUGAGUAACACGUAAGUAAUCUACCUUCGAGUGGGGAAUAACGUUCGGAAACGAACGCUAAUACCGCAUAAUGCAGCGGCAUCGCAAGAUGACAGUUGUUAAAGGAAUUUAUUUCGCUUGAAGAGGAGCUUGCGGCAGAUUAGCUUGUUGGUAAGGUAACGGCUUACCAAGGCUACGAUCUGUAUCCGGCCUGAGAGGGCGGUCGGACACGCUGACACUGAAUAACGGGUCAGACUCCUACGGGAGGCAGCAGUCGGGAAUUUUGGGCAAUGGGCGAAAGCCUGACCCAGCAACGCCGCGUGAGGGAUGAAGUAUUUCGGUAUGUAAACCUCGAAAGAAUAGGAAGAAUAAAUGACGGUACUAUUUAUAAGCUCCGGCUAACUACGUGCCAGCAGCCGCGGUAAUACGUAGGGAGCAAGCGUUGUUCGGAUUUACUGGGCGUAAAG
rnacentral:rRNA from 1 species